AGAGUUUGAUCCUGGCUCAGGAUGAACGCUGACAGAAUGCUUAACACAUGCAAGUCUACUUGAUCCUUCGGGUGAUGGUGGCGGACGGGUGAGUAACGCGUAAAGAACUUGCCCUGCAGUCUGGGACAACAUUUGGAAACGAAUGCUAAUACCGGAUAUUAUGUGAGUUUCGCAUGAAAUUCAUAUGAAAGCUAUAUGCGCUGCAGGAGAGCUUUGCGUCCUAUUAGCUAGUUGGUGAGGUAACGGCUCACCAAGGCGAUGAUAGGUAGCCGGCCUGAGAGGGUGAACGGCCACAAGGGGACUGAGACACGGCCCUUACUCCUACGGGAGGCAGCAGUGGGGAAUAUUGGACAAUGGACCAAAAGUCUGAUCCAGCAAUUCUGUGUGCACGAUGAAGUUUUUCGGAAUGUAAAGUGCUUUCAGUUGGGACGAAGUAAGUGACGGUACCAACAGAAGAAGCGACGGCUAAAUACGUGCCAGCAGCCGCGGUAAUACGUAUGUCGCAAGCGUUAUCCGGAUUUAUUGGGCGUAAAGCGCGUCUAGGCGGUUUGGUAAGUCUGAUGUGAAAAUGCGGGGCUCAACUCCGUAUUGCGUUGGAAACUGCCAAACUAGAGUACUGGAGAGGUGGGCGGAACUACAAGUGUAGAGGUGAAAUUCGUAGAUAUUUGUAGGAAUGCCAAUGGGGAAGCCAGCCCACUGGACAGAUACUGACGCUAAAGCGCGAAAGCGUGGGUAGCAAACAGGAUUAGAUACCCUGGUAGUCCACGCCGUAAACGAUGAUUACUAGGUGUUGGGGGUCGAACCUCAGCGCCCAAGCUAACGCGAUAAGUAAUCCGCCUGGGGAGUACGUACGCAAGUAUGAAACUCAAAGGAAUUGACGGGGACCCGCACAAGCGGUGGAGCAUGUGGUUUAAUUCGACGCAACGCGAGGAACCUUACCAGCGUUUGACAU
rnacentral:rRNA from 1 species